rnacentral:rRNA from 1 species
UACGUAGGGUGCAAGCGUUAAUCGGAAUUACUGGGCGUAAAGCGUGCGCAGGCGGUUGUGCAAGACAGAUGUGAAAUCCCCGGGCUUAACCUGGGAAUGGCAUUUGGGACUGCAAGGCUUGAGUGCGGCAGAGGAGACUGGAAUUCCUGGUGUAGCGGUGAAAUGCGCAGAUAUCAGGAGGAACACCGGUGGCGAAGGCGGGUCUCUGGGGCAUAACUGACGCUGAGACGCGAAAGCGUGGGGAGCAAACAGG